rnacentral:rRNA from 1 species
UAGACGAUGGCAAAUUGGUUAAUAUUCCAAUACCAACAUUAGUGUGCGAUGGAAGGACGCUUAGGGCUAAGGGGGCUAGCGGAUGGAAGUGCUAGUCUAAGGUUGUAGGAGGUUAUACAGGCAAAUCCGUAUAACAAUACUCCGAGAACUGAAAGGCUUUUUGAAGUCUUCGGAUGGAUAGAAGAACCCCUGAUGCCGUCGAGCCAAGAAAAGUUUCUAAGUUUAGCUAAUGUUGCCCGUACCGUAAACCGACACAGGUGGGUGGGAUGAGUAUUCUAAGGCGCGUGGAAGAACUCUCUUUAAGGAACUCUGCAAAAUAGCACCGUAUCUUCGGUAUAAGGUGUGGUUAGCUUCGUACUAGGAUUUACUCCGAAAGCGAAGAAACUUACAACAAAGAGUCCCUCCCGACUGUUUACCAAAAACACAGCACUCUGCUAACUCGUAAGAGGAUGUAUAGGGUGUGACGCCUGCCCGGUGCUCGAAGGUUAAUUGAUGGGGUUAGCAUUAGCGAAGCUCUUGAUCGAAGCCCGAGUAAACGGCGGCCGUAACUAUAACGGUCCUAAGGUAGCGAAAUUCCUUGUCGGUUAAAUACCGACCUGCAUGAAUGGCGUAACGAGAUGGGAGCUGUCUCAAAGAGGGAUCCAGUGAAAUUGUAGUGGAGGUGAAAAUUCCUCCUACCCGCGGCAAGACGGAAAGACCCCGUGGACCUUUACUACAGCUUGACACUGCUACUUGGAUAAGAAUGUGCAGGAUAGGUGGGAGGCUUUGAGUAUAUGACGCCAGUUGUAUAUGAGCCAUUGUUGAGAUACCACUCUUUCUUAUUUGGGUAGCUAACCAGCUUGAGUUAUCCUCAAGUGGGACAAUGUCUGGUGGGUAGUUUGACUGGGGCGGUCGCCUCCCAAAUAAUAACGGAGGCUUACAAAGGUUGGCUCAGAACGGUUGGAAAUCGUUCGUAGAGUAUAAAGGUAUAAGCCAGCUUAACUGCAAGACAUACAAGUCAAGCAGAGACGAAAGUCGGUCUUAGUGAUCCGGUGGUUCUGUGUGGAAGGGCCAUCGCUCAAAGGAUAAAAGGUACCCCGGGGAUAACAGGCUGAUCUCCCCCAAGAGCUCACAUCGACGGGGAGGUUUGGCACCUCGAUGUCGGCUCAUCGCAUCCUGGGGCUGGAGCAGGUCCCAAGGGUAUGGCUGUUCGCCAUUUAAAGCGGUACGCGAGCUGGGUUCAGAACGUCGUGAGACAGUUCGGUCCCUAUCUGCCGUGGGCGUAAGAAGAUUGAAGAGAUUUGACCCUAGUACGAGAGGACCGGGUUGAACAAACCACUGGUGUAGCUGUUGUUCUGCCAAGAGCAUCGCAGCGUAGCUAAGUUUGGAAAGGAUAAACGCUGAAAGCAUCUAAGCGUGAAGCCAACUCUAAGAUGAAUCUUCUCUAAGCUCUCUAGAAGACUACUAGUUUGAUAGGCUGGGUGUGUAAUGGAUGAAAGUCCUUUAGCUGACCAGUACUAAUAGAGCAUUUGGCUUAUCUUU